rnacentral:rRNA from 1 species
UACGGAGGGUGCGAGCGUUGUCCGGAAUCACUGGGCGUAAAGGGCGCGUAGGCGGUUCGAUAAGUCGGACGUGAAAUCUCCACGCUCAACGUGGAGGGGCCGUUCGAUACUGUCGUGACUCGAGUCCGGUAGGGGAGUGUGGAAUUCCCGGUGUAGCGGUGAAAUGCGCAGAGAUCGGGAGGAACACCCGUAGCGAAGGCGGCACUCUGGGCCGGUACUGACGCUGAGGAGCGAAAGCGUGGGGAGCAAACAGG